rnacentral:misc_RNA from 1 species
UCUCCGUUGGUGAACCAGCGGAGGGAUCAUUACAGGAUCGAAAGACUCCUAUAACCCCUGUGAACUUACUACAAAUACGUUGCUUCGGCGGGCGCCCCGGGUCUCCCGGGGCGUUCAGCCCGCCGGCAGCCUUCAAAUUCUGUUUCUUUGCGUUGGCAUCUCGAGUAUACAAAAAUAAGUUAAAACUUUCAACAACGGAUCUCUUGGUUCUG